rnacentral:rRNA from 1 species
GAGCUCAACUUUGGAAUCGCUCCGGCGAGUUGUAGUCUGGAGGUGGCCACCACGAGGUGUUCUAGCAGCAGGCAAGUCCUUUGGAACAAGGCGCCAGCGAGGGUGACAGCCCCGUACCUGCUUUUGCUAGUGCUUCCUGUGGCCCACCGACGAGUCGAGUUGUUUGGGAAUGCAGCUCUAAGUGGGUGGUAAAUUCCAUCUAAGGCUAAAUAUUGGCGAGAGACCGAUAGCGAACAAGUACAGUGAUGGAAAGAUGAAAAGCACUUUGAAAAGAGAGUGAAACAGUACGUGAAAUUGUUGAAAGGGAAGGGCUUGCACCCAGACACGGUUUCGGCCGGGCCAGCAUCAAGUAGAACGGGGUUAAAAGACCUGGGGAAUGUAGCUACCUCUUGGUAGUGUUAUAGCCCUUGGGUGAUGACCCCUGUUUUGCUUGAGGACAGC